AGAGAUGCACUGGGCUUAAAGCGUGCGCAGGCGGUUUUGUAAGACAGAGGUGAAAUCCCCGGGCUCAACCUGGGAACUGCCUUUGUGACUGCGAGGCUGGAGUGCGGCAGAGGGGGAUGGAAUUCCGCGUGUAGCAGUGAAAUGCGUAGAUAUGCGGAGGAACACCGAUGGCGAAGGCAAUCCCCUGGGCCUGCACUGACGCUCAUGCACGAAAGCGUGGGGAGCAAACA
rnacentral:rRNA from 1 species